rnacentral:rRNA from 1 species
CCCAGACUCCUACGGGAGGCAGGCAGUGGGGAAUUUUGGACAAUGGGCGAAAGCCUGAUCCAGCAAUGCCGCGUGUGUGAAGAAGGCCUUCGGGUUGUAAAGCACUUUUGUCCGGAAAGAAAUCCUUGGCUCUAAUACAGUCGGGGGAUGACGGUACCGGAAGAAUAAGCACCGGCUAACUACGUGCCAGCAGCCGCGGUAAUACGUAGGGUGCAAGCGUUAAUCGGAAUUACUGGGCGUAAAGCGUGCGCAGGCGGUUUGCUAAGACCGAUGUGAAAUCCCCGGGCUCAACCUGGGAACUGCAUUGGUGACUGGCAGGCUAGAGUAUGGCAGAGGGGGGUAGAAUUCCACGUGUAGCAGUGAAAUGCGUAGAGAUGUGGAGGAAUACCGAUGGCGAAGGCAGCCCCCUGGGCCAAUACUGACGCUCAUGCACGAAAGCGUGGGGAGCAAACAGGAUUAGAUACCCUGGUAGUCCACGCCCUAAACGAUGUCAACUAGUUGUUGGGGAUUCAUUUCCUUAGUAACGUAGCUAACGCGUGAAGUUGACCGCCUGGGGAGUACGGUCGCAAGAUUAAAACUCAAAGGAAUUGACGGGGACCCGCACAAGCGGUGGAUGAUGUGGAUUAAUUCGAUGCAACGCGAAAAACCUUACCUACCCUUGACAUGGUCGGAAUCCCGCUGAGAGGUGGGAGUGCUCGAAAGAGAACCGGCGCACAGGUGCUGCAUGGCUGUCGUCAGCUCGUGUCGUGAGAUGUUGGGUUAAGUCCCGCAACGAGCGCAACCCUUGUCCUUAGUUGCUACGCAAGAGCACUCUAAGGAGACUGCCGGUGACAAACCGGAGGAAGGUGGGGAUGACGUCAAGUCCUCAUGGCCCUUAUGGGUAGGGCUUCACACGUCAUACAAUGGUCGGAACAGAGGGUUGCCAACCCGCGAGGGGGAGCUAAUCCCAGAAAACCGAUCGUAGUCCGGAAAGAGUUCUGCAACUCGAGUGCAUGAAGCUGG